GACGCUCGGCCAGGGGGCCUUGUCUCUGGUGUAUGGGAGCCACGUCAGCGCGGGCGCCUGAAAGGGUCAGUGGCCUGGUCAGUCCCUUCCGAACCCCAGCAGCUGUGUUUGCGGUAGGACCGGCCGCACGCUGUCUCCAGCCUGAGGGGACCAUCUCUCCCGCUCCGCCUGCGUCAGGGCCGGUGUCAGGUCAGGCCCAGGGUCAGGGUUGGAGCCGGGGCCAGGGCCGGGGUCAGGGCCAGGGCUGGGGCGAGGGCCGGGGUCAGGGUCAGGGUCAGGGCUGGGGCGAGGGCCGGGUCAGGGCUGGGGGCCAGGGCCAGGGCUCGUGGCCCUUUCCUCUGCGCUGCGCAGCCCGCCUGUCUGCAGGGGCGUCUGCUUCUUGCUUCUUCUUCAGCCUGAGCCCCACCCGUGGCCUUUCCCUCAUCUCCUGUCCCUGGAGUGUGCGUCUCUGAAUAAAUCUUCACUCAAAAAAAAAAAAAGAAGAAAGAAAGAAAGAAAGAAAGAAA